AGUGCUGCCCGUGCUCCUGAGAGCCUGGAGGUGGCUCUGCCCCAGUUCCCCAUGGCAGAAGGUGGGUGGCUCCUGAUGCUGGGGAUUCACAGCCACACACUGUCCUCAGGCAGUGCACAGCAAAGAAAACAGAAGCAAGAUAUCAGCAUGUUCAAUGGCUGCAUUCCCCUGAGUGGAGGAAAAGUACCUGGGAAAGCAGUGAGAGGAGAGAUGAGGAGCAGCCUGCUGCAGAAAGAACUGCUGUCUAGAAGAGAACAUAUCAGGACAACUGCCAGCAUACUGAGCGAGAGGUGUUGGGAGUGUUUGUUGUUCACACUUAACAACCUGAUGUGAUUUAUCGUGCUUUUAUUUCGUCUCCCUCCAAAGAUGUUAUGUCUGUUUAAAUACAGUUUUCACUCUGUUGCUCACUACCGGAGAUGCUUCACUCAAGGAGCCCCAGGUAAUACAAUGCAGCUUCUCCCUGGAAGCCCAAAAUAGUGUUUAAAUGCUUUUCUGCAAAGACUCCGUAAAAAUUGAACACAACCUCUGCUUCGUUAGUCAGUUUGUGGCAGAACAGCAGCAAAGCCUGUCUGAACUUGAAUCUUAUGGCUGUAUUAAGACAUAUUUUUUCACAGUAAAGACAUAGACUUGGACUCCAUCAUCUCAGAAUAAAAGAGCAUAUC
rnacentral:lncRNA from 7 species